UUGUCAGAUAGGAUAAUCCUUAUCUAUUCCUCUUCUUGGAGGGCAGAUAGAAUAUGAUGAUUGGAGUAAAAAUAAAGAAUAUGAGACUGUUUUAAUCUGCAGUUAAGUUGCUUGUGGGUUAGUCUGAU
ensembl:snoRNA U8 U8 small nucleolar RNA